AUAAUCGCGCUUGAAAAAUUUCAAGUGAGGAAAGUCCGUGCAUUCAAGGACAAACAGCCGGGGAAAGCCCGGACGGUGUGAACCGGUGGAUAAGUGCUACAGGAAAUAUACUGCUAACGGCUUUAAUAAAAAAGGUACGAGCGAUGGUGCAACGGUGAGUUAAGAGCUUCACCAGCAAUACUGAGAAGUAUUGGCUAAGUAAACCCCUGUUGAAUGCAAGGUUAAAUUGAGGGUUAUAAAGGCUGUCCGCCAACUUCAGAAAAACCGCUAGAGAUUGAAAGUAAUUUCAAUACCAGACAGAUGAUUAUUUAGAAACAGAACACGGCUUAUGAGUUGCUUU
rnacentral:RNase_P_RNA from 1 species